rnacentral:rRNA from 1 species
AGUGAACGCUGGCGGUAGGCCUAACACAUGCAAGUCGAACGGCAGCACAGUAAGAGCUUGCUCUUACGGGUGGCGAGUGGCGGACGGGUGAGGAAUACAUCGGAAUCUACUUUUUCGUGGGGGAUAACGUAGGGAAACUUACGCUAAUACCGCAUACGACCUACGGGAGAAAGCAGGGGAUCUUCGGACCUUGCGCGAUUGAAUGAGCCGAUGUCGGAUUAGCUAGUUGGCGGGGUAAAGGCCCACCAAGGCGACGAUCCGUAGCUGGUCUGAGAGGAUGAUCAGCCACACUGGAACUGAGACACGGUCCAGACUCCUACGGGAGGCAGCAGUGGGGAAUAUUGGACAAUGGGCGCAAGCCUGAUCCAGCCAUACCGCGUGGGUGAAGAAGGCCUUCGGGUUGUAAAGCCCUUUUGUUGGGAAAGAAAAGCAGCAGGUUAAUACCCCGCUGUUCUGACGGUACCCAAAGAAUAAGCACCGGCUAACUUCGU